UUCCUCUCAGGUCUCAACUGGAGAGUUUCCAGUACUCUACCAUUCUCGAUUCUGGGAGGGAGAGUCAAGCAGAGGCCUAUCCAUUCCAUUCCUAGCUUGGCCAGAGGCUAGCAAAUGGAAGGCAAUCUGCUACAAGA